rnacentral:rRNA from 1 species
GACGAACGCUGGCGGCGUGCCUAAUACAUGCAAGUCGAGCGGACUAAUUAAGAGCUUGCUCUUAUGAGGUUAGCGGCGGACGGGUGAGUAACACGUGGGCAACCUACCUUGUAGAUUGGGAUAACUCCGGGAAACCGGGGCUAAUACCGAAUAAUCCAUUUUGCUUCAUGGCGAGAUGUUGAAAGACGGUUUCGGCUGUCACUACAAGAUGGGCCCGCGGCGCAUUAGCUAGUUGGUAGGGUAAUGGCCUACCAAGGCGACGAUGCGUAGCCGACCUGAGAGGGUGAUCGGCCACACUGGGACUGAGACACGGCCCAGACUCCUACGGGAGGCAGCAGUAGGGAAUCUUCCACAAUGGACGAAAGUCUGAUGGAGCAACGCCGCGUGAGUGAAGAAGGUUUUCGGAUCGUAAAACUCUGUUGUAAGGGAAGAACACGUACGAGAGUAACUGCUCGUACCUUGACGGUACCUUAUUAGAAAGCCACGGCUAACUACGUG